AAUCCAUGUUGAGGACAUCACUUUCACAAAUCCUUGUACCUCUCCCAAGCUCAUAUAGUGAUUCAGAAUCAACUUGCAUGAAAGAAGUGAUGUCAUUCUGCAUCU
rnacentral:snoRNA from 1 species